GCUCAGCCCCUGAAUUAAAUCACUCACCGCUAAAUGGAUCUUUGAGACUCUCCCUUGACGCAGUCAGUCGCUGCUUUGUGUGUCUUCAAACCGAAAAGAGAAAACUGGGAUUCUUUUUUUAAUUUUUAUUUUUUUUAUUAUCUAACAGAAAUACCUAAUGUCUCUUUGAACAAAUGUCUUGUGUUCGUGGUGACAUACAGUAAGCUGCCAGCUUUGUAUCGGGAAGAGGCUCUUGCUCCGCGAUCGUCAAGCAGAGUUCAAAAAGAGAAAUCAACAUCUGCACUGCUGGAGGACACCAGGGAUGCUCUCUCACACUGAGGACUUCAACCUAGAUUACAGAGGUUAUUCCUUCGUGCACAUGCCAGAGACACAGAAAGGAAGACAGUGGCAGAAACAAUAAGAUGAGACCAUUUAAUGAUGGUAACCUUUAAGGAGAAAAGCACAAGCCAGCCUGAGGUGGUGAAAUCUCUUUUAAGCAUCACCACAAGUUCACUGCAGGCAAACCUCAAUGAAAGAAACUCAGUGUAAGGUCAGAUACUCAACAUUUUUCUGACUGCUACAUGGGGACAACACCAUCCAUCAAUGAAGAGGAGACAAAUAAAAGGAUUGUUUCUGGUCCCUGAGAACAGUUGAACAUCCAGCUAAUUAUCCAACAGGAUUGUCUCAGCUUUACUGAAACCACAGCGGUAUCACCUUUCUC
rnacentral:lncRNA from 15 species